UGCUUCUGGCGGCAGCUGCUCCGCGCCCCGCUCUCUUGCCCCAGCUCCGAGCUCUGCGCUGCGCUGCGCUGUGGCUGCCCUUCCUGGGCUCGCCCGGCUCCGGCCCGCGCGCUGCGGGCGCACAGGGCGGUGCCUGCGGCCGCUGGCUCCCCGUUUUCCUCUCCGCGACUCGGGCUCUCAGCGCUGGGGGCGCAGAGAGCUCCUUGUGCUUUUCCUUCCCAACCGACCCGGCAAAGGCUCCUUUCCUCGGGACAGGGUUUGACAGCUGCUGCGGGUUCUCGCAGCUGGCAAAGGCCGAGGGGCCGAAAGGGCUAGCUCUUUUAGGGCUGGGGUGCGGGUCUACACACCCUCUCCUUAUCCCCUUAUUCUCCAGCUUCCGUGCCAGGGUGGGGCGGAUCUAACAGAGCUCUUCCAUUUGAGGUUUCCUCUCGGUUUUCCGAGCCUGCUGAGAUUGGGGAGAAGAAAGCAUGGCAGACAGCCCAGAAGCGGUGCCGGGAUUCUCUCUGCCAACCCAAGCGCCGUGGAUUGGGCAGAGCUGCGGGUCCCCGAUUCCCUCCGGUCCUCUCCCCCCUCCCGGUUCUGCAGUAAGAAUAGGAGGAUUUUCCUGGGCCUGACAUGUAGGGUGGGUAGGGAUACAAAGAGUCUCCACUAGAGAUUCAUCUAUAUGAGCGUUGGAAAGGAUCUGAGAACAUUUAGUCCAACCCUCUGAUUUUACAGAUGAGGAAACGGAGGCACGAAGUGUGCCCAAGAUAAUUAGUUAAAUAGCUAGGAACUAGAAUGCACGUCUCACAUCUUGUGAUUGCUACUUCAAUAUUCCUUGUCUUCAGCUUGCCUAUAAAAGCUUCCUUUCUGCCUUUCCCCCAAGUCUCCUACAGAUAAUUUUUAUGUAGAAAUGGAGCUCCGCAGUGGCGGUGACCCUGCGUCCGCUCUGGUGGCCAUUCCUUUUGGAAAUCAGUUUAGUACAGGAGUAACAUUGGAGAUCACCGGUUGGAAAUGUAUGCACCUGCUCUUUCGAAUACUUCCAUGACGUUUCUAGUUCAUUUUAAUUCCUGGUGAGGUAUUUCAAGAUUGAACGAAUGAAGAGUUUUUCCAGGAACUCGGUGCUUUGCUGUUGACAUUGUUUGCCAAAGUGAGCGAAAGAUCCUGGAAGUCAGCAUUAGAGCUGUCAGCUUGGAAAAACACAGAACCACUAAAGUAGUCAUAAAAGCAAAUCUUUAAUCAGGACAAGAGACAGUGCUCAAGAUUUCACGGCCACACGAGUCAACCACUGGGACCCCGGGGGCUCUAGGGACUGGGUCUCUGGGAAUUCACAGACAAACAUGAUUUUCCAUAGAGCAAUAGAACUUGGGGCCUUAUAUGCCUUUUGGGGAAUUAAGGACAGAAAACAUACUCUGACUCGGUUACAAGCAGGUUUGGGAAAGAGGCUAUAUGGGGUACCUGGGAAUGGAAGAAACUUCUAAGACAAAAAGGGUGAUUGAGAACUUGAACAUUUCUAUCACUCUUAUUCAAGAUACUUAAUGGAUGCUUGGUGAUCCAUUGUUCAAUCUAAAACUAGGUCAGUUUGGGACUUCCCCUAAGGGCAAGUUCCCAAGGGACAGGGGCAAACUUGGGGCUCCCAGAAAUUCAGUUAACAGAGCUAAUUGAAUUUUCAAAGAAAAGUUUUGAUUUGGUUUUAGAACUGAAAAGUAAUUUGUACAUUUCUGUUCCUUAUGGUUUCGUAAUUCUACCUUUGGAUCAGUCAUUGUUUUAUUUUUUGUUUUUGUCUGCCAGUGGAUAGCACAGUGCUUGGCACAUAGUGACACUUAAUAAACUCUUACCUUCUGUCUUAGAAUAAAUACUGGUGUUGGUCCAAGGCAAAGAGUGGUAAGGGCUAGAUAAAGGUGGUUAAGUGAGUUGCCCAGGGUCAUACAACAACUGAGAUGUGUUUGAGGUCAUAUUUGAACUCAGGACCCCCUGUUUUCAGACCUGGCUCUCUAUUCACUGUGCUACCUAACUGUCCCUAAUACUUGCUAAUUAGUUAAGAGAAUAAGCUUAUUUUCCUUCAUCUAAAGAAAGAUAAUGUACUUUAAAGGUAAUCUAGUUUAUCCCUCAUUAUUUUUUUAGAUGGGAAAAUCCCAGGCUUCUGAGGAGGAUUAAGUGAUUUAUCUAAGGGAACAAAGUUAGCAAAGGACAGAGCAAUUUUAAUAUAGUGUCCCAAAAGUUUUAGUGCCGUUUUGACACUCCGUUCUAGAUCUAGGCAUGUUCUCUGCCUGGAAGUAUCUUCCCUCAUCUCCUGUCUCCUAGUUUCCCUGCUUGCCUUCAAGUGCCAGUUAAAUUCCACCUUCUCAGAAGGAAACCUUUCCCAACUUUUCCCUUUGUUGAUUAUCUCCAGUUUAUCCUGUGUAAAUAGUCCAUAGUUGUUUUCAUGUCAUUUCUCCCUUUAGACUGUGAGCUCCCUGGGAGCAGGACUUUCCUUGUAUGCCCAGCUCUUAGCACAAUGCAUGGCACAUCUUGUUUAGCCGUGGCCAACACUUCAUGACCCCAUUUUGGAGUUUUCUUUGGAAAGACUGGAGUAAUUUACCAUUUCCUUCUCCAACUCAUUUGACAGAUGAGGAAACAGUAUUAAGUGACUUGCCCAUGGUCACACAGCUAGUAAGGUCAGUUUUUGUUUUUGUUUUAACCCUCACCUUCAGGGCCACACAAGUAGGAAAUUUCUCAGACUGGAUUUGAACCCAGGUCAACCUAAAACCAGGCCUGAUGCUCUAUCCACUGUGCCAUCUAGCUGCCCCAUUGCCUACAGAUUUAAAAACAAACAAACAAAUAAACCUUACCUUCUGACUUAGAAUCAAUAUUACACAUUGGUUCCAAGGCUGAAGAACAGCAAGGGCUAGGCAAUGGUGGUUAAAUGACUUGCUCAGGGUCACAAAGUUAGGAAGUGUCUGAAUCCAGCUUUGAACCCAGGACUUCUAAACUCUUAAGUUUCGCCCUCUAUCCACUGAACCACCUAGCCACAUCAAUACCAUAUACUUUUUUUUUUUGCAGUACUUAUUUUUAAUACUUUUACACUUCAACAUAAUUUUAAAUAAUCUUUUCCUAACAUUUUAUAAUCAGUAUUAUCUCUCUCCCACCUCUAUUUCUAUCCUCCCCUUUUCCAAGAUGGCAGGUAAUAGAAUAUAGAAUACCAUAUACUUUUAAAUGCCUUCUAAGUGAAUCUCAACAAAUAUUCAAUUUUAUUUAUUUUUUGUUUGCUAUAGAAUGCAUCCCUUUUUUCAUUCACUCUUGAACUCUAAUAUUUAGAAUCUAAUUUCUGAUUUGCUUAGGAAAAAGUUGCCAGGAUGAUUCAGUUUCAGAAGUAAUUUUUAUUUAAGCCAAGGAGUUACAGUAGCUUUAUUUCUCCAUCCUUAGUUUAAAGGUUAAGUCCUAAUGUAUGGUCUCUUCAUUUUUUUUUUGGCUUUUAGAUCUAAUGCUCUUUUUUUUUCUGAAUUGCUAGUAGAGUUUCCCUUACAAACUUGUUCUUUUUUUUUUUUUUAAAUAACCCUUCCCUUAUAUCUUAGUGUCAAUUCUAAGAUAGAAGAGUGGCAAAGGCUAGGCAAUGGGAGUUAAGUGACUUGCCCAGGGUCACACAACUAGGAAGUAUCUAAGGACAUAUUUGAAUCUAGGCUCUCUAAACUCCCGACCUGGCUCUCUAUCCUUUGUCCUACCUACUUAAAUAAAAAUUAGGGAAUAUAAAUAUAAAGUGGCCAUUUGGGGGGUUGGUUAGCUGACACUGGGAGAGAAAUAUAAGCCGUUAGAAUAGUGCUUUCUUCCUUCUCUAAGCCUCAGUUUCCACCAUAGUAAGGGGGUAGAAUGGGGCAAGGUUUGAAAAGUGCUCAGUGUAAUAUUUGUUGAGAUUGGUGGCAUAGGUAGAGAGUGAAGUGCAUGCCUCUGCUAUAUUUACUUAUGGAGAAAUUAUUUGAAGCUGACAAUUGGCUGCUUGAGUGGCCAAGUUAUAUGACCUCUCAUGGUGAGUGAUUUGAAGUUUAAAUAUCUAAAAGGUGUUAAAAAUAGAAUAAGCCCACAUGAAAACAUACUUCAUUAGUCUAUCAUACUACAUUCUUAAUUUAGGAAUCCAGUUGAUUAUAUUCUCCAACUUCUCUGUUUUCAGAAGAGUGGAAAACCUGAGAAUGUUGUUGUUAAUGAAGUUAUCUUCAUCAUCAUCACUAUUACCAUCAUCACCAGAAUCACUGAAAGACAUCUCUUUAUUUAUUUAUGUUUUUAAAAACCCUUACCUUCCAUCUUGGAAUUAGUACUGUGCAUUGGUUCCAAGGCAGAAGAGCUGUAAGGUCUAGGCAAUGGGGGUUAAGUGACUUGACCAGGGUCACACAGCUGGGAAGUGUCUGAGGCCAGUUUUGAACCCAGGCCUGGCUUUCAAUCCACUGAGCUACCUAAUUACACCCUUGCCCCAAAAGGCAUCUCUUUAGCACCUAUCUGUUCCAACAGAGACCAUGUGGAGCAAUUGCUAAGUCUGAUUCUUGGCUGAUUCAAAUUUCUUGUUCCUCUCUCACAGGACUUAGCUUUUCUCAGCUGUGAUUCCUUUCAAAGCUCAGCUCAGGUGCCACCUUCUACAUGAGUCCUUUCAUGUUCCACCAAGUAUUAGUGCCUCCUUAGUACCUUGUAUAAAUUUAUAGUACAUUUUAUGUUCUAAUGUAUACCUUGUCUCCCCUAAUAGAAUGUAAGCUCCUUGAAGACAGGAAUUUUCAUUUUUUUCUCUUAGUACCUUCUGCCUAGCUUAGCACCUGACAUAUUGUGGAAAUUUAAUAAAUACUUGUUAUUUGAUUGAUGAACAAUGAAAUAAACAUUGGAGGAGGUAGGGAAUGGGGCCACUAGGUUCUCUUUUCCUGAUCACAGAAGGUAGACAGUUAGACAUGCAAAAAGGAGCACUUGGCACAAUACCUUGCACAUAGUAGGCUCUUAAUAAAUGUUGAUUAUUGGUUGAAAGGCAAGAGAAGAGUUGACUCUGGGGAGGAGGGUGGGAGAGUCUCUCCAAAAUGCCUCCUUCUUAUUAUGACUGUUGUUAGUUACCUAAGGACAAUAAAAAACAGCUAACCAAAGACCAUGGUGCUAAUUGUUAUCUUAUCUCCCUGUAGUUCUAAAUGAUGUUUUCUAUCUUCUUGGCAUGCUAUGGCAUUUUGUGAGGCCAAGAGCAAAUUGUCCACGUAUUUAAUUAAGUUACUGUUUUUAAAUUUUAUAUUAUCCAUGUCUUGGUUCAAAAUUUGUGCAAAUAGAACUUUCCAUGUACCCUUGUGGCAAAUGGCACCACGCCUCCUUUGGGAACCUUUCCUUUUCUACAGAACAUUUUCCCCCACCCCCUCACCCCAUUUCACCCACUGUUCCUGAAAAGAUGUGGGGUCUUGCACAGUUCAUAUCAAAUAUAUUUGCAUUUUGCUUAAACAUGUAUUUUUAUUAAAUUGUAUUAUAUUUUAUUUUUUUUUGAAAAUUUUAUUUAGCUAGUCGACUUAGAAAUUUUUUCCUUGGUUAUAUGAAUCAUAUUCUUUCCAUCCCCUUUCUCCACCCCUUCCCAUAACUGACAUGCAAUUCCACUGCGUUAAACAUGUAUUUUAAAAAUAUUUUUUAAAAUUUUGAUUGUGAAUUGUAGAUAAAAUAAAAUUCCUUAUCCUCACGGAGCUUGUCUUCUAAAAAGAAGCCACAAAAAAUAGUUGUUGAGCUUUUUCUGUCUGAUUACAUGACUCCAUUUGAAGUUUUCUUGACAAAACUACUUGUCUGGGGCUUUUUAGCGAAAAUGAGAAAACUGAGGCAAGCAGAGUUAAGUGGUUUGUCCAAGGUCACAUGGCUAGUACUAUCUGAGACCAGAUCUGAACUCAGGAAAAGGAAUCUCUAUCCACUGUGCCACCUAGCUUCCCACAGUUACAAAACUACAAAAGCAUAUACAAAUUGAUACAAAACAGUUGUGUGGAGUGAAGAAAAUGACAAGUGGGGAAAACAAAAAUGGCCUUAUAAAGAUCAGCUAGGUGGUACAAGGGUUAGAGCAUUAAGUCAAGAGUCAAGGAGACUUGAAUUUAAAUCCAGUGUCACACACUUGCUGUGUGAUUAUCCUAGGCAAAUCACUUAACCUCACUCUGCCUCAGUUUCCUUGUUUAUAAAAUAGGGAUAAUAACAUCUCCUUUCCAGAGAAUCAAAGGAGAUAAUAAUUAUAAAGUGCUUAGCACCAUGCCUGGCACAUAGCAAGUACUAUAUAAAUGUUAGCUAUUAUUACUAUUAUUAUCAGCAUCAUAUGUAUGGAAUGUUAGGCAAGUGUUGAGGCCCCACACCCUGCUAGAUGGUCCUACUUCAGAUUUUCCUCAUCUUACCAGCUCUGAAAAGUCCCCACUCAAGACCACGAGUGUUGAGAACAAGGAACAGCUGCAGAGAAUUGGCUUUCUUGCAAAGAGAGCAAGAAAACCUUUCAUUCAAUCACAAACAGCUCAACAGCUAUCCAAACCAUGACUUGAAGUUGGGAAAAACAUAUGGAACUAAUUAAUAUCUUUUCUAAAAUCAUUAAAUGGAAACAUCCUUUUUAGAUCAUCUUGUAUCUCAUGCAGGGUCAGCAACUUCAUUACUUUACAUGUUAAGCUCUGGAUGGCUCCUAAGAAAUUGCAACACCCGGGUGGUCUAUUUCUGGGAAAAGGCAGAAGAGGAGGAGCGACAGAGAGACAGACAGACAGAGAGAGAGAGAGAGAGAGAGAGAGAGAGAGAGAGAGAGAGAGAGAGAGAGAGAGAGAGAGAGAGAGAGAGAGAGAGAGUAGCAUUGUGUAUCUAUACAGAAUUUUAGAAUUUUGCUGGCAUAUAUCUUAAAAGAACUCAUUUUGUGCCCCAGAGGUGCCCUUCUUUGUGUUAGUCUAGGGAUUCUUUCAUUCCUUAAUCUCACUUAAAAAGAAGGGUUUGCUCCUUUUCACAGAAUCUUAGAGUGAAAGAUUAACAGACAAGAUUUAGUUGAGGUCAUAGGGAUUAAUAAAGCUAUGUAACAGCUACAGGUACUCUCCAAGUACACAUUUUGAAUGCGAUUUCCAUGGCAUGGUUCAAUGGAGUUGGCCACACCAACUCUACAGAGAGUUUGCUGUCCACUAAGUACCUAGGUGCUUACUUUACACAGAAUGAGUUCUAGAAAACUUCUUGUGAAACACCAGUCUUUGUGAAGAGGAUUGUACUUUUACUGCCAUAGCUUAGUUAGAUAUUGAAAGGAAUUCUGUGAUGAAUCCUUUUACAAUAUGAAUAAUAAGUCAUUGAUGAUCUGUUUUAUAAAUUUGGAUGUUUAUUUAUUGGAUUUUCUUAAAGUAGGACAUGUCUAUCUCUGUCCUCUCCCUUAUCCCAGUGAUUUAUACAUAGUAGGUGCUUAAUGGAUUCGUGUGGAAUGGGAUACAUUACAAAGUUUUCCAAAUCACUUAAAGUGAUUUGUUUAAGAUAAACGCCUUUAAAAUGGUGCUUGAAAACUGGCAUGUGUUGAUGCAGAGCCAGAAAUCUGAAAUUGUAAAUCUUUAUAGUUCAUAAACAUUAUGUUUUGCCAUGAAUAGGAAAGUGAAAAACUACUGAAAAAUAAAUGCUUUUAAAAUACAAGAUUUUAAUAAUAUUUCUUUUUAAUUUAUAUAUAAAAUCUGAAUAUUUUUUUCAAGGUAGAUUUUUAAGUCAAGCCACUUCUUUCAAUCUAGUGAAAGCACAGGACCCCAACUCAACAGAACAAUGAUUAUGUGUUCACAAGAAGUGGAAAUGGAAGUACAUUCUUUUGAAUUAGCUAUUUACCUAUAGAAUUUACUGCAAGAGAUACUUAGAGAGUUAUUAUAUAGGAAGUAAUGCUGGACAAUGGAAAGAUAACUGGCUCCGGAGUUAAAAUAACUGGGUUCAUAUCCCACCUCUGGAACUUCCUACUUGUAUGUUAUUGGGUGAUUCUCUCAACUUGUUGAGGCUUUGGUUGUCUCAUCUAUAAAAUGAGAGGUUGGACUAGAUGCCCUCUGAGAUCUCUUAAUUCCAGAUCUAUGAUCUUUUUGCAAAGCUGGGGAUUCAUUCCAAGAGCACUUGUCUUUUGUUCAUCUGAAAUGAGAUAAUGUCCUUUGCAAAACUUGAAGUAAUACAUAAAUGCCAGAUAUUAUUAUUAUUUAGGUAGUCAUAUGGGAUUUUGCUUAUCCCAUGUUCCUUAUCAGCUCUUAGUAUAUGAACUGGUGAAGGGCUGUGAGGAAUACUGAUCUCUUUUGAAGACACAGUUGGGGAGCUACAGCUUUUCUGAAAUGAUGCUGAAAAGCAGGUUAGCACAGUGCCUGUCAGUGUAGUUGACUUGACUUGACAGCCUCAAUCUAACUAUACUCUCUCUUCCCUCUCUCUUUGACUCCAGUCUCUAUUUCUCUUACUUCUCUCUGUCUCUUUCUCCCUCUCCUCUGUCUCUAUUACACUCACAUACUCUAAACAAAGUAUCUGGCACACAGUUGGCAUUUAAUAAAUGUUUAUUGAUUGAUCCACACAUAUAUAAUUUAUUAUACAUUUUAAACAUCAAAAAACCAAUAACUAUUUGGAUUUAAAAAUAUGAAUUUUGACACACAGAAUGGCUCUGACUUAGCAGAGGCAGCACAAAGCAAAAACACAAGAUGAGUUCCCCACUCUGACUUAUAUACUCUCUGUGUGACUAUUAGAAAGUCAUUUACUCUGAGUGGGGCAGGCACCUUCAAUCUUAAGACUAUAAAAAUGCUGAUCUACAACUGGUAGAAGGAAUUUCCUAGGGGGCUGGGGAAGAGUGUCUCCUUAGCAAUGAAAUUAUAGGUCUACUUCCUCUCACAAAUUUACCAGUUAUUUCUUUGUCCCUUUGAGCAGUUUUUUUUUGUCCAUUCAACCUGUGUUUAGGUAUACAUUUGUAUGUUUGCUUUCCCUAUUAUAUAGUUGUAAUCUAUAUGUACUCUUCUACUUUUGAUUUUACUCACUUUUUGCAUCAUUUUAUAUACAUCUUUUCAGAUUUCUUAAUAUUUCUCAAAAUAAGUUUUAAAUGAAGUAGAUGUAGUCUUCAGUGAGAUACAUAGAAAAGAUGUUACAAAUAAUUUUUAUAGGAAAUUAAGGAUAUCUGGAGAAGUUAAGGGCAGCUAGGUGGCAAAAUGGAUACAGUACUAGGCCUGGAGUAAAAAAGACUCAUUUUCUUGACUUAAAAUUUGGUCUCAUAUGCUUAUAAGUUGUGUGUUCCUGGCCAAGUCACUUAAACCUGUUUGCCUCAGUUUCCUCAUCUGCAAAGAGUCGGAGAAGGAAAUGGUCAACCACUUCAAUAUCUUUGCUAGUAUAACCCCAAGUGAGGUCAUGGAGAGUUGGACAGGAUUAAAAUGACUGAACAACAAUAAGAAGAGAAGUUAACCAGGCUUCUAACAUAAAGUGAGAAUAUUGCUCUAACAUACCCAGGAAUGUUAUGAAAGAGAGGCCUCAAAAGUCAUGAUUAUGUGACUCAGAAUGAGGGGGAGAGUAGGUACCAAUGAUGGUGAAGUUGCCAGAAGAGUCCUAAGAAUUGCCAGGCCUGCAUUCAUCAUUGUUUUUUAGAGAGAAUGUUUUAAGUAUUUUGAUUUCUUAUAAAACUUUCCUUAAUUUUUUUAAUAUAUUGAAUUUUCUAACUCACUUUGCCAAUUUUUUUCUUAACCAUGUAGAUGGAGUAGAUAGGAAUGAAGGAAUGUGUGUGUGUGUGUGUGUGUGUGUGUGUGUGUGUGCACGCGCAUGCAUACUCUUGCUUAAGUGUGUAUGUGUGUAUGAGAGAAAGAAAAUGAGAGUAAUAAAAAGAGAAUGAUAGAGAUAAAAGGAAAAUGAGAGAGGAAGAGAGAAUGAGAGAAAUGGAGGGAGAAGAGGAGGGAGAUGAAGAAAAGGGAGGAGGAAGGAAUUUAGGAAGAAGACAUAGAUGGACAGAGAGAGGGAGAGGGAGGGAAAGUAGAAGGGAAUGAGGGAGAGGAAGGGAGAGAAGCUGAUAAUGUGUAUAAAGAAAUGAUUGAAUCAUUGAUUCAGAAAAUAUUUGUUACCUACUAUAUAACUAACUCUAGAAUGUACCUUAGUGCAUGCAAGUAAGCAGAAGGCUUCCCUCUAAGAAGUUUACAAUUCAGAGGUGGAGAGAACAUAGAUAUACAUGAAAAGUUAAUUAUAAUUAUAAUAAAAGUUGAUGAUACGUGAACCUCCACUAUUCAAUAAGUGAUGGUUAAUUGCCUAUUGAAUAGUAUAGACAAGAGUUGUGGGUUCAGAAGAGAGAGAGGUCACUCAGCUAAAGCUUUAUGGAUAUGUUGGUAAUUGAGUUGGGCUUUAAAAGAUGGAUAAUAAUUGAAUAAAUGGAGAGAAAGAGGGAGGAUUUUUCUAGGUAGAUGAUACUAAUAGAGAAAAAGUAUUAAGACGAAUGUAUAUAAUGUACUUUGGUGAUGGAGAUUUUUAAACCAUUCUGGAUUGGAGUGAUAGAUUUUUACAGGGGAGGAAUUAAAGGGUUAGAACUCAAUCCAAAUAUUUAUUAAGCAAGGCACUGUGGCUAGGUGGUAGUGGUAUAUAGUUGUUUUCAAUUGUGUCUGACCCUUUGUGAGUUUGGAGUUUUUUUGGCAAAGAUGCUAGAGUGGUUUGCCAUUUCCUUUUCCAGCUCAUUUUAUAGAUGAGGAACUAAAGCAAACAAGGUUAAGUGACUUGCCCAGGGUCACACAGCUAUUAAAUAUCUGAAGCUGGAUUUGAACUCAUGAAGAUGAAUCUUUCUGAUUCCAAGUCCUGUGUUCUAUCUAUUUGCCACCUAGCUGCCCUGGUAGGUAGUAGGGCAACAAAUAUGAACAUAAAUCAGUCUCUGUCCUUAAGCUGCUUAUAUAUGAAUCUGUAUGUUACAACAUCUCUUUAGAUGCAAAAUGAUUUCAUAGGAAGAAAGCAUUAACAUCCUAGGUCCAUGAUAGUGAACCUAUGGCACAGGUGCCAAAAAGGGCAUGCAGAGCUCUCUCUGUGGGCACGCCUGCAGUCACCUGUCAGAGUUUGUUACUAGAAAGCCAGAGGGACUCAGGACAGAGUUGUUUCCUUCCUCCUCUCCAUGCACAUGAAGACAUUUCUCACAUGACCCAUCCCUCUUCAGGCAGCAGCCUAUUGAGUCGGUGGUGAAGGUGAUUUCCAUGGUGUGGGGUUGGAGAGGAGCUAGGUUUGAGGAGGGCAGAGCUGGAGGGGAAUGGAGCACUUGGACCACUCUUCUCCUCCUUUCUAUCUGGGCCUCUCUUCAUCCACCCUUCUGCCCAGCAGCCCAAUGGGAGUGCUUUCUCCUUCCCCUCUCUGGGGUAAGAAGGUGGGCCAGGGGAAUGGGGAGGUGAGGAGUGGGGCAUGGCACUCAGUCUGGGGGAUGGGGUGGGGGUAGGGUUGGCACUCCAUCUCUAAAUAGGUUUACCACCACUCUGCUAGGGGAUCCUUAAAAGGUUUGUUUAGCAGUUACCAACUGAGCAGUGUUUUGAAGUAAAUUAGAAUUCAACAAAGUGGUGAUAGAGAGGGAAUAAAUCUCAAAUAGGAAUCACCUAUGUAUAGGCAUAAGAGCAAGAGAUGAGUUAUCAUAGGCCAGAACAAAUAACAGAUUAUUUUGACUCUAAUGGAAAGUAUUUGAAGAAAAAUAAUACAAAACAAACUUGGAAAGGAAAGGUGAGGAGGAGUGUUAGGGAAGGCUUCAAAUGCUAGAGUGAAGAUUUUUUUUUUAUUGACAAAGCCAAAGGGAACCAUUGAAGAUUCUUGAGUAGAGAUGUUUUUGCAACGAUUGCUGUGUUAAGAAUGAAUUGGAGACUUAACCCCCAUUGCCUAUCCCUUACCACUCUUUUACCUUGAAACCAAUACAUAGUAUUGAUUCUACGAAGAAAGGUAAGGGUUUAAAAAAAAAAAGAAUGAACUGGAGAUAGAUCAACAAAUAUGGCAGAAUACAAAGCAGCUGAAUUUCUUGAAGAGCAUAGCACCCAAUACCUGGAGAAAACAGUGGCAGGAAUUCAGACAGUACACAUCAGUGUCAAAAUUGAUCCUAAUAUUCCUUCCAAGUCCCAAUUCAGGAAGCAAGGCUAGAAGAAUGAGUAAGAUGAAAAAAUAAAAUCUAUUGAUGAAUAAUUUUAUAUUAUGGAGCCAGAGACAUUCUAGACAUAAAAAUAAGUUGGCCUCAAGAUCAAUUAGAUUUACUGAAAAAAUUAAGUAUUUUAAAAUUGAUAUUGCAAAUUGAGCUCUGUAGGAAAAAAGAUAAAAAAAAUAAAUGAGAGCUUUGGAGGAAGUUUUGGAGGGAGAAUAACAGCAUAGUACAAAAAAUAUAAAACCUUAGAAAAUAACAUAUUUCUUAGAAAAUAGAAUAAACCAAAUAGAUGUUAAUGAAUCCAUGAGACAAUAAGAACUAUUUUUAUUUAAAAAUAAACAUUUGAAUAUAAUUUUAGAAAAAUUAAAUUUAGUAGGCUUUCUUGAUUACUGAAUAGAAAUAGACGUAUACGGGGGCAGCUGGGUAGCUCAGUGGAUUGAGAGCCAGCCCUAGAGACGGGAAGUCCUAGGUUCAAAUCUGCCCUCAGACACUUCUCAGCUGGGUGACCCUGGGCAAGUCACUUGACCCCCAUUGCCUAGCCCUUACCACUCUUCUGCCUUGGAGCCAAUACACUGUAUUGACUCCAAGACGGAAGGUAAGAAUUUAAAAAAAAAAUAAAAAAGAAAUAAAAAGAAAUAGACGUAUACAAAUUCUCAGCAUUACAUGUCUGCUAAAAUAAAAAAAAACACCUCAAAACAUGAAAAAAGUAAUAUAUUUCAUAUUACAAACAAUGGACUUGAUAAACAGUUCAAAGGAAAAAUAAAACAUAAUUAUCAUUGUAGUACCUGAAAGCUAUAACCAAAAAAACAAACAAACUGUUAUAUCUCAGUUUUAAGAAAUCAUUAAUGAAAACUUCCUAGAUGGCAAAAAGUAAAAAUAGAAAGGAUCUUCUAGGCAUUCUCUGAAAGAAACCUUCAGAGAUGGAACUCAUAAAAAUGUCAUUAACCAAAAUCUAGAAAUUCUAGGGCAAAGGAAAAAAAUAUUACAAGCAACCAAAAAGAUUUCAAGUAAUGAGGACUCUACAAGAUCACGUAAGAUUUGAUAACUACCAUUAUAAAAGAGGGGAGAGCAUGAACUACAAUAUUCCAAAACAAGCAAAAGGUAUACACUUUGUGGGCGAAAAAUCAACUACCCCCUUCUAUGAGGAUUAGACUUUAAUAUUUGCAGUAGUCUUGAGAUAAUCAUAUUUGUAAUUUUAAGAUAGUUAGAAUAAGUCGUGAUUUUAGUAGAUUAGUAGAUUUUUGUAAUUAUUAGUAGAUUAGUAGAUUUAGUAGAUUUUUGUAAUUAUUCUAGUAUAUGUAUUAAGGUUUUUGAAUUAAGUAAAUAACUGCUUUAGCAUAGACCUUAGUACCAGCUCCACCCCUCAAAGUUACUAUAUCAUGAGCCCUCAGCAUAAUCAUGGCCUUGAACUUGCCAUCCAUUAUACAUCACAAUGCCUGACCCUGGGUUCAGAACCAGGGACCACCCACUCUUAUCUUUUGUGUCCCUAGCCCAGGCUUUUCUGCUCACCUUAUUUCUAUCAAGGAACUCUUAAGUCAUGGUCAAAUGAUUUCUUUUACCAAUAAGAAGUGCUUCCUAGUGGACCUAACCAAUGAACAUUACUUCCAGGUAGAAGGCCUGGAUGUAUGAGCUUUUAUGCUCAUAAAAAGAGAAAGAGAAGUUAAGAGAAAAAGAAUGUAACAGAUAAGAAAGGGGAAAGUGUGGCUGAAACUUAUUGUCUCAAAUAAUCAGAAUAUUCAAGAAGACUUAUGCCAUGGAGAAGAAAUAAAUUUCAUUCAGGUGGUGGGAUUA